ensembl:lncRNA
GUGCGUGUGUGUAACAGUAGUGUGUAACAGUAGUGCGUUUGUGUAACAGUAGUAGUGCGUGUGUGUAACAGUAGUGCGUGUGCGUGUGUGUAACAGUAGUGUGUAACAGUGGUGUGCGUGUUAGUGUGUAACAGUAGUGUGUGUGCGUGUGUGUAACAGUAGUGUGUAACAGUAGUGCGUGUGUGUAACAGUAGUGUGUAGCAGUAGUGUGUAACAGUAGUGUGUAACAGUAGUGUGUAGCAGUAGUGCGUGUGUGUAACAGUAGUGUGUAACAGUAGUGUGUAGCAGUAGUGUGUAACAGUAGUGCGUGUCAGUAGUGUGUAACAGUAGUGUGUAGCAGUAGUGCGCGUGUGUAACAGUAGUGCGUGUGUGUGUAACAGUAGUGUGUAGCAGUAGUGUGUAACAGUAGUGUGUAGCAGUAGUGCGUGUGUGUAACAGUAGUGUGUGUGU